rnacentral:rRNA from 1 species
CAGUAGCCGCGGUAAUACGUAGGUGGCAAGCGUUGUCCGGAAUUAUUGGGCGUAAAGCGCGCGCAGGUGGUUAAAUAAGUCUGAUGUGAAAGCCCACGGCUCAACCGUGGAGGGUCAUUGGAAACUGUUAAACUUGAGUGCAGGAGAGAAAAGUGGAAUUCCUAGUGUAGCGGUGAAAUGCGUAGAGAUUAGGAGGAACACCAGUGGCGAAGGCGACUCUCUGGUCUGUAACUGACGCUGAGGAGCGAAAGCGUGGGGAGCGAACAGGAUUAGAUACCCCUGUAGUCCCUGUCUCUUAUAC